rnacentral:rRNA from 1 species
UACGAAGGCAGCAGUGGGGAAUAUUGCACAAUGGGCGCAAGCCUGAUGCAGCCAUGCCGCGUGUAUGAAGAAGGCCUUCGGGUUGUAAAGUACUUUCAGUCGUGAGGAAGGUGUUAAGGUUAAUAACCUUAGCAAUUGACGUUAGCGACAGAAGAAGCACCGGCUAACUCCGUGCCAGCAGCCGCGGUAAUACGGAGGGUGCGAGCGUUAAUCGGAAUUACUGGGCGUAAAGGGCACGCAGGCGGUUAAUUAAGUUGGAUGUGAAAUCCCCGGGCUUAACCUGGGAAUGGCAUUCAAGACUGGUUAGCUAGAGUCUUGUAGAGGGGGUAGAAUUCCAUGUGUAGCGGUGAAAUGCGUAGAGAUGUGGAGGAAUACCGGUGGCGAAGGCGGCCCCUGGGACAAAGACUGACGCUCAUGUGCGAAAGCGUGGGGAGCAAACAGGGAUUUAGAUACC